AGCAGCGGGUCCGGUCAGAGAGUGACUCUGUCCCUGCCAUCACCUCCUGUGCUGCCCGAGCCCCCCACCGGCUGUGGGAGGUAUCAGGAGAAAAAAAGGCUCCAGGGAGAGCUCAGAUCCCUUUCCAGUGCCUCUAGUGCUCCUGGCAAUGUCCAAGGUCAGGCCAGACAGGGCUUGGAGCUACCUGGGACAGCGGGAGGUGUCCCUGCCCAUGGCAGAGGCGGGGAUGGGAUGGGCUUUAAGGCCCCUUACAAACCAGUGUGGGAUUCGGAUAUUCCUUGGAUUUCAAUGUCUGUUCUGCCACAGGUACUCGAGGUACUCGAGGAUUUGUUACUGGUUCAAACGUGCUCUCUUCCCUCCUGGCCCAGGAUGUGAUUCAUCCCAUCUUGCACAAGAUGGAGCGAGGCUGAUGAGCCCUGCCCGCCAGGGUGGGGCUGUUCAGUGCCUUAUCUUUGCAAUAAAGAGCAAGAGAGCUCAGCCCUGCACCUUCCAACGAUGGCUGUGCUUAUCACCUUUGCUGUGCUGCCCUACUCUGCACUUCUGCUUGCUGUGGAUUGUGAGUUUACACUCAAGGAAUCCAAACCCAGAAGAAAUCACUGAAAGUUUCCAGUCUGACCUUCUCCAUACCACAAACUGCAGCACAUCUCCAGUGCAUCCCUGCCCACCUGCAGCAGCUCCUGCAGGGAAAACCCCUCUGUCACACAAACACAGAAGGCCAGGAGGCUCCUUCCCGUUUUCAGGACACUGUUCCAUGCUGGGUUAUCUUGGCUGUCCCACUCUGGAGCCCCAGCUGCUGCCACUGGAUCCUAACUCACACCCGUCUGCCAGGUCAGGCCAACCUGAAGUCUCACAUGCUCCUUACCAGUGUAAGCUGUAAUCUAAUUACUGUAAUGAUCUAUCUGUUAAAUACAGCAGGUUAAGCUCUUUAGCUCAGGGUGUUGAAUGUUGUUGAAAACCAAACCCUCAUUUUCGAUUCCCUGACUACCAGUUCUGAGUGAGGAGCAGCAGCUUGCUUG
rnacentral:lncRNA from 1 species